rnacentral:rRNA from 1 species
UACGUAGGGGGCUAGCGUUGUCCGGAAUCAUUGGGCGUAAAGCGCGCGUAGGCGGCCCGGUAAGUCCGUUGUGAAAGUCAAAGGCUCAACCUUUAAAUGCCGAUGGAUACUGCCGGGCUCGAGUCCGGAAGAGGCGAGUGGAAUUCCUGGUGUAGCGGUGGAAUGCGCAGAUAUCAGGAGGAACACCGAUAGCGAAGGCAGCUCGCUGGGACGGUACUGACGCUAAGGCGCGAAAGCGUGGGGAGCGAACAGG